GGCCGGUUAGCUCAGUUGGUUAGAGCGUGGUGCUAAUAUUAGACACGCCAAGGUCGUGGGUUCGACCCCCACACGGGCCA